rnacentral:rRNA from 1 species
CCUACGGGGGGCUGCAGUGGGGAAUAUUGCACAAUGGGCGCAAGCCUGAUGCAGCCAUGCCGCGUGUGUGAAGAAGGCCUUCGGGUUGUAAAGCACUUUCAGCGGGGAGGAAGGCGGUGAGGUUAAUAACCUCAUCGAUUGACGUUACCCGCAGAAGAAGCACCGGCUAACUCCGUGCCAGCAGCCGCGGUAAUACGGAGGGUGCAAGCGUUAAUCGGAAUUACUGGGCGUAAAGCGCACGCAGGCGGUCUGUCAAGUCGGAUGCGAAAUCCCCGGGCUCAACCUGGGAACUGCAUUCGAGACUGGCAGGCUAGAGUCUUGUAGAGGGGGGUAGAAUUCCAGGUGUAGCGGUGAAAUGCGUAGAGAUCUGGAGGAAUACCGGUGGCGAAGGCGGCCCCCUGGACAAAGACUGACGCUCAGGUGCGAAAGCGUGGGGAGCAAACAGGAUUAGAUACCCGUGUAGUC